rnacentral:rRNA from 1 species
AUACGUAGGGGGCGAGCGUUGUCCGGAAUGAUUGGGCGUAAAGGGCGCGUAGGCGGCGCGGUAAGUCUGGAGUGAAAGUCCUGCUUUCAAGGUGGGAAUUGCUUUGGAUACUGCCGCGCUUGAGUGCAGGAGAGGUUAUCGGAAUUCCCGGUGUAGCGGUGAAGUGCGUAGAGAUCGGGAGGAACACCAGUGGCGAAGGCGGGUAACUGGACUGCAACUGACGCUGAGGCGCGAAAGUGUGGGGAGCAAACAGGAUUAGAUACCCUGGUAGUCCACACUGUAAACGAUGAAUGCUAGGUGUAAGAGGUAUCGACCCCUUUUGUGCCGGAGUCAACACAAUAAGCAUUCCGCCUGGGGAGUACGGCCGCAAGGUUGAAACUCAAAGGAAUUGACGGGG